AGGAUAUUAUCAUGUAUGUCAACUCUCCAGGAGGAUCAGUAACAGCUGGUAUGGCCAUAUUUGAUACCAUGAGGCACAUAAGACCUGAUGUUUCCACUGUAUGUGUUGGACUGGCUGCCAGUAUGGGCGCAUUUCUGCUUAGUGGUGGCACCAAAGG